rnacentral:rRNA from 1 species
GACGGAGGAUGCAAGUGUUAUCCGGAAUCACUGGGCGUAAAGCGUCUGUAGGUGGUUUAAAAAGUCCACUGUUAAAGGUUGAAGCUUAACUUCAAAAAUGCCGUGGAAACUUUUAAACUUGAGUAUGAUAGGGGUAGAGGGAAUUUCCAGUGGAGCGGUGAAAUGCGUAGAUAUUGGAAAGACCACCGAUGGCGAAGGCACUCUACUGGGCCAUUACUGACACUGAGAGACGAAAGCUAGGGGGAGCAAAUGGG